CCAAUAGCGUAUAUUAGAGUUGUUGCAGUUAAAAAGCUCGUAGUUGAAUUUCGGGAUUGACACAUCGGUCGUGCCUUAAGGGGUAUGAACUGGUGUAGUCAGUUUCUCACCUUCUGGAGAACCGCGAUGUCCUUAAUUGGGUGCCGCGGGGAACCAGGACCUUUACUUUGAAAAAAUUAGAGUGUUUAAAGCGGGCAUUUUGCUUGAAUACAUUAGCAUG
rnacentral:rRNA from 1 species